GCAGGCCUAACACAUGCAAGUCGGACGGAAACGACAAGAACAAUCACUUCGGUGUGCGUUUUUGGGCGUCGAGUGGCGGACGGGUGAGUAACGCGUGGGAAUCUACCCUUUAGUUGGGGACAACAUAUGGAAACGUAUGCUAAUACCGAAUAUGCUCUACGGAGUAAAGGUGCCCUCUCCUUGGAAGGUAUCGCUAAAGGAUGAGCCCGCGUUAGAUUAGCUAGUUGGUAAGGUAAAGGCUUACCAAGGCGACGAUCUAUAGCUGGUUUGAGAGGAUGAUCAGCCACACUGGGACUGAGACACGGCCCAGACUCCUACGGGAGGCAGCAGUGGGGAAUAUUGCACAAUGAGGGAAACCUUGAUGCAGCCAUGCCGCGUGUGUGAAGAAGGCCCGAGGGUUGUAAAGCACUUUCAAUUGUGAGGAAGAUUAAGUAGCUAAUACCUGCUUAGUUUGACGUUAACUUUAGAAGAAGCACCGGCUAACUCUGUGCCAGCAGCCGCGGUAAUACAGAGGGUGCAAGCGUUAUUCGGAAUUACUGGGCGUAAAGCGCGCGUAGGCGGACUGUUAAGUCGGUUGUGAAAGCCCUGGGCUCAACCUAGGAACUGCAUCCGAUACUGGCAAUCUAGAGUUUAAGAGAGGGAAGUGGAAUUCCAGGUGUAGCAGUGAAAUGCGUAGAUAUCUGGAGGAACAUCAGUGGCGAAGGCGACUUCCUGGCUUAAAACUGACGCUGAGGUGCGAAAGCUUGGGUAGCGAACGGGAUUAGAUACCCCGGUAGUCCAAGCCGUAAACGAUGUCAACUAGCUGUUGGCCUUAUUAAAA
rnacentral:rRNA from 1 species